rnacentral:rRNA from 1 species
GACGAACGCUGGCGGCGUGCUUAACACAUGCAAGUCGAACGGAAAGGCCCUGCUUUUGUGGGGUGCUCGAGUGGCGAACGGGUGAGUAACACGUGAGUAACCUGCCCUUGACUUUGGGAUAACUUCAGGAAACUGGGGCUCAUACCGGAUAGGAGCUCCUGCUGCAUGGUGGGGGUUGGAAAGUUUCGGCGGUUGGGGAUGGACUCGCGGCUUAUCAGCUUGUUGGUGGGGUAGUGGCUUACCAAGGCUUUGACGGGUAGCCGGCCUGAGAGGGUGACCGGCGACAUUGGGACUGAGAGACGGCCCAGACUCCGACGGGAGGCAGAAGUGGGGAAUAUUGAACAAUGGGCGGAAGCCUGAUGCAGCAACGCCGCGUGCGGGAUGACGGCCUUAGGGUGGUAAACCGAUUUCGCCUGUGACGAAGCGUGAGUGACGGUAAUGGGUAAAGAAGCACAGGCUAAAUACGUG